UACGUAGGGUGCGAGCGUUGUCCGGAAUUAUUGGGCGUAAAGAGCUCGUAGGCGGCUUGUUGCGUCGGUUGUGAAAACUCGCGGCUUAACCGCGGGCGUGCAGUGGAUACGGGCAGGCUGGAGUCCGGCAGGGGAGAAUGGAAUUCCUGGUGUAGCGGUGAAAUGCGCAGAUAUCAGGAGGAACACCGGUGGCGAAGGCGGUUCUCUGGGCCGGAACUGACGCUGAGGAGCGAAAGCGUGGGGAGCGAACAGG
rnacentral:rRNA from 1 species